rnacentral:rRNA from 1 species
GACGAACGCUGGCGGCGUGCUUAACACAUGCAAGUCGAACGGACAGGCCCGGCUUUUGUGGGGUGGACGAGUGGCGAACGGGUGAGUAACACGUGAGUAACCUGCCCUUGACUUUGGGAUAACUUUAGGAAACUGCGGCUAAUACCGGAUAGGAUCUCCUGAUGCAUGGUGUGGGGUGGAAAGUUUCGGCGGUUGGGGAUGGACUCGCGGCUUAUCAGCUUGUUGGUGGGGUAGUGGCGUACCAAGGCUUUGACGGAUAGCCGGCCUGAGAGGGUGACCAGCCACAUUGCGACUGAGAGACGGCGCAGACGCGUACGGGAGGCAGCGGGGGGAAAUAUUACAGAGCGAGCGGAAGACUGAGGCAGCAACGCCGCGUGCGGAAUGACGGCCUUCUGGUUAUAAACCGCUGUCGACUGUAACGAAGCGUGAUUGACGGUACUGGGUAAAGAAGCACCGGCUAACUACGUG